UUAAACUAGGAUUAGAUACCCUAUUAUUUAAAAUGUAAAUAAUAAAGCUAAGGUAGUAGUAGUUAUGUUCUUGAAACUUAAAAAAUUUGGCGGUAUUUUAGUCUAUUCAGAGGAACCUGUUCUGUAAUCGAUAAUCCACGAUGGACCUUACUUAAGUUUGUAAUCAGUUUAUAUACCGUCGUUAUUAGAAUAUUUUACAAGAAUGUUAAUUUUCUAAAUUUUUUUAAGAAAGUAUAUCAGAUCAAGGUGUAGCUAAUAUUUAAGUAGAAAUGGGUUACAAUAAAUUUAUUUAUACGGAUAUAAAUUUGAAAUAUUUAUUGAAGGUGGAUUUGAUAGUAAAAUUAUAAAGAUAAAUA
rnacentral:rRNA from 1 species